rnacentral:lncRNA from 1 species
CACUCAUAUACACCCCACAAUCACUCUAUACACAAACUAUACUUGACCUAUUACUUGAAGUUUAAGAAAAACUGACCAAAACACAAAAGUUUAAAAUUGAGCAAUGAACCACAAAAAUGAAGUCAAGGUGAAAAAAAACUGACAGACUGACAUGUACAAAGUACAAUAUCUUCAUAUAUCAAGUAAAGUUAAAAUUUUGCAUACAGUACUUAUUACAAAACAGAC